rnacentral:piRNA from 1 species
UAGAAAACACUUAUUGAACUGACAGGA